rnacentral:rRNA from 1 species
GACGAACGCUGGCGGCGUGCCUAAUACAUGCAAGUCGAACGCUUUUUCUUUCACCGGAGCUUGCUCCACCGAAAGAAAAAGAGUGGCGAACGGGUGAGUAACACGUGGGUAACCUGCCCAUCAGAAGGGGAUAACACUUGGAAACAGGUGCUAAUACCGUAUAACACUAUUUUCCGCAUGGAAGAAAGUUGAAAGGCGCUUUUGCGUCACUGAUGGAUGGACCCGCGGUGCAUUAGCUAGUUGGUGAGGUAACGGCUCACCAAGGCAACGAUGCAUAGCCGACCUGAGAGGGUGAUCGGCCACACUGGGACUGAGCCACGGCCCAGACUCCUACGGGAGGCAGCAGUAGGGAAUCUUCGGCAAUGGACGAAAGUCUGACCGAGCAACGCCGCGUGAGUGAAGAAGGUUUUCGGAUCGUAAAACUCUGUUGUUAGAGAAGAACAAGGAUGAGAGUAGAACGUUCAUCCCUUGACGGUAUCUAACCAGAAAGCCACGGCUAACUACGUGCAGCAGCCGCGGUAA